rnacentral:rRNA from 1 species
UACGUAGGGUGCGAGCGUUAAUCGGAAUUACUGGGCGUAAAGCGGGCGUAGACGGUUCGUUAAGCCAGAUGUGAAAUCCCCGGGCUCAACCUGGGAACUGCGUAUGGAACUGGCGGACUAGAGUGUGUUAGAGGGGGGUAGAAUUCCACGUGUAGCGGUGAAAUGCGUAGAGAUGUGGAGGAAUACCGAUGGCGAAGGCAGCCCCCUGGGAUAACACUGACGUUCAUGUGCGAAAGCGUGGGUAGCAAACAGG